UACGGGGGGGGCAAGCGUUGUUCGGAAUCACUGGGCUUAAAGGGCGCGUAGGCGGGCCGCCGCGUCCGGGGUGAAAUCCCCCCGCUCAACGGGGGAACGGCCUCGGAUACGGGCGGCCUGGAGGCGGGUAGGGGCACGCGGAACUGUGGGUGGAGCGGUGAAAUGCGUUGAGAUCCACAGGAACUCCGGUGGCGAAGGCGGCGUGCUGGACCCGGUCUGACGCUGAGGCGCGAAAGCCAGGGGAGCGAACGGG
rnacentral:rRNA from 1 species